rnacentral:rRNA from 1 species
ACGGAUGAGUAACACGUAGGCAACCUGCCCUCAAGCUUGGGACAACUACCGGAAACGGUAGCUAAUACCGAAUACUUGUUUUCUUCGCCUGAAGGAAACUGGAAAGACGGAGUAAUCUGUCACUUGAGGAUGGGCCUGCGGCGCAUUAGCUAGUUGGUGAGGUAACGGCUCACCAAGGCGACGAUGCGUAGCCGACCUGAGAGGGUGAUCGGCCACACUGGGACUGAGACACGGCCCAGACUCCUACGGGAGGCAGCAGUAGGGAAUCUUCCGCAAUGGGCGAAAGCCAGACGGAGCAGUGCCGCGUGAGUGAUGAAGGUUUUCGGAUCGUAAAGCUCUGUUGCCAGGGAAGAACGCUUAGGAGAGUAACUGCUCCUGAGGUGACGGUACCUGAGAAGAAAGCCCCGGCUAACUACGUGCCAGCAGCCGCGGUAAUACGUAGGGGGCAAGCGUUGUCCGGAAUUAUUGGGCGUAAAGCGCGCGCAGGCGGUCAUCUAAGUCUGGUGUUUAAUCCCGGGGCUCAACCCCGGAUCGCACUGGAAACUGGGUGACUUGAGUGCAGAAGAGGAGAGUGGAAUU